rfam:Triticum aestivum genome assembly, contig: Triticum_aestivum_CS42_TGACv1_scaffold_210956_3AS
UUUAUACUUCCUUCGCCCCAAAAUUCUUGUCUUAGAUUUGUCCAAAUACGGAUGUAUCUAGUUAGAUACAUCCGUAUCUAGACAAAUCUAAGACAAGAAUUUUGGGACGGAGGGAGUAUUAU